UUUAAAUGCAAUUAUAAGUUUUCACGCCUAACUUUAAUCGUCUCUGUCUUAUUUGAAAAUUUUUUGUAAUUAGUAUUUUCUUAUGAGAUGAUAAAACACAAAUGGUACUUUACUCGUGACUUAUGUUUUUAAUUUUUUUCAAAAAAAUUUCAAAUAAGAUGAACGGUCAAAGUUAGACGCGGAAAACCAUGGCUGCACUUAUU
rfam:Oryza meridionalis cultivar OR44 (W2112) chromosome 4, whole genome shotgun sequence.